rnacentral:lncRNA from 1 species
GGGUGGAGUUAGCUAACCACAGCUAACCCCACCUCAAAUGGGUUAUUCCGGAUUAGCUAAUCCCACCUAAACCCCAACCAAACACUAUUUUCUAUUCAUAAUAAUCCACUAUCCUUCUUAUCCCACCUAUUCCAACCAAACACUAUUUUUCACUAUCCUGAACUAACUCCAACCCCUAACCAAACACAAAAAUACUCUAACCCCACCUUAACCCUAAACUUAACCCUAUCCCUGAAAUAACUAAUUUUUUCUUAACCCCGAACCAAACGGUAGCUUAGGAUAUUUUGACGAAAUUCUAUGCGAGUACUUCAUAUAUCCUGGUCUCAACUUUGUUUCCUAGUUGGUAUUGAAGAAAAGAAUCUAGGGGUGAAGUAUCUAUUGUAAGAAACCUUCUAGUCAUGGAUACAAUAUUGUUAUAAAGCAAAGCUAGUUAUGAUUAUUUAAACAGGAAGAAGCAAAUUAUAAAAGCCAAAAAAAAAAGUUAAAAGGUCACAAGUUCAAUAUUUGUAAGUGAAAUUUAAACAGAGUACAUUGGACAGAUUAGAGAAUAAAACAUACACUGAAGAAUAGCAAUUUCCUGAAGAUGUUACGAGGUAGCUAAAACAUGUUCAACAUAAACUUGAGGCUUUUGUCUGUAAUAAUCAACUUCAUAAAAUAUGCAACUGCUGUAAAUAAGCAGCUUAUGAACUGCCUCCACUGUGUACUAAAAAGGUCAUCAUCAUCUUAGGGUUUAACUGUAUAAAUCAUCAUCGUCCGCUGAGGCACCAGAAGCAGCAAAUGGGUCGGCCACGGCGGCUCCCGCACCAGCCUCAGACCGCUCUGAGAAGCGGAACUCACUGCCGAACCCCCUCGAUUGCUGUAAAGUCUGCGCGAAUGCCUGGUAUUUCCUGAUGUCGGCGUCGCUGACACUCCGACGCGCGUACUUCAUGGAUUCCUCGAAAUGGACGGCCUUGAUCUCCGCCACGUCGUUGGCGUCGUCGUCUUCCUCCAUUGCUUCCGGGUUCUCCCUCUUCCUCCUCUCUCUUUCUAUAUCCUGUAGCAUAGACAGCAUGAUAUUUAGCCAUUUAAGUGUCAAGCAUCAGUGGCUAGCAAGAAUACCCAUGGAUUUGGAUCGGCUAGCCCACUAUAUUUUUUUCCUCAAAUUUAAAUGAAAUCAAAAGGAAUAGAAGAGUUAUCUAAUCUCAAACCAAAAUAAUACAACAAAACAAGAAAUCGCGGGCUCCUUCAGGGUAAAAUGAAAAAACAGCCAGAAACUGGAGCUCAGCUCGCUUCGCAGAGAUGAAAAAGGGAAUCUAGUAGUAAUUAUGAGGAACAUGCACAAUUCUAGCCAACUAACGAGGAAUCAAUAAGGAUUAACAACAAACCAAACAUAUUCUGCGAAAAUACAAAUGCCAGUAGCUCACCUUCUCAAUGUUCUCUCUAAUGGCAUAUUUGCAAGCCCGCUGGCAAAUCUCUGUGAUAUCUGCACCGCUAAAGCCUUGGGUGUACUUCGCAAGGGCGUGCAAAUCCACAUCCUUAGCGACAGGGGACUUCCUAAGGCAAGCUUUGAAAAUCUGGUGGCGAGAAGCCUCAUCAGGCAAAGGAAUAUAAAUUAAUUGGUCCAGCCGUCCUGGCCUUAGUAGCGCCGGGUCAAUAAUGUCGGGUCUGUUGGUCGCUCCAAUAAUAAAGACAGUUUUCUUAGCAGACAUUCCAUCCAUCUCUGUCAAGAGCUGGUUGAGAACCCUGUCUGCAGCGCCUCCUGCAUCUCCCACACUGCUACCUCUCUGCAAUGAAAGGUUACAAAGUUUACAUAAGGAAAAAGAAGUUGAAGCUCCUUAAGAGUAAAUUUUAGGUGCACUAUGUGGGUAUGCUUGGCCCCAGCUGGAGCUUCUGCUGGACAGCCAGUAGAGCUGUUCAAGAAUCCCAAACAGUUUCAUUAUAAUUUGUACAACUUAACACCGAGUUAGAAGUUAUUCCAGAUCGAAGUUUUGCUUCCGAGAUUAAAAAGUCUAUCAGGUUUCCUCGUUUACAGCUCUGUUUUUUAUUUUUUCCGGCUUUUGGUAACCAAACAAGUAACUCAUUGCUUCUGUAGUGGAAAGCUACUGGAAAGCCAAGGAUAAAUUAAUAUGUAAGUCAUAAAUAUUCUGACUCUGUUGGAGGGGUGCAAUGACAAAGUAUGGGGGCUCAAUUGCAGAUGUUCAUCAUUCCCCGACUAGGGGCAGUAAAUGGCGGUACGAACAGCAGAGCAGAUUUGAAACCACAAUGCAAAUGAAAUAAGUGAUAAAUGGUCGAGAUUGAGCCCUCAAUUUUUUCUCUUUCCAACAAUAUGACAUACGCUUUCUAUUAAAAAAUUUGUUCCAAGAAUCCGGCCAAACAGGCAUUAUGUAAAUGUAAAUGUGUCCGAGUAUAGAAUAGGAUCGUAUGACAAACCUGGGUUGCAAUGGAAUCGAGCUCAUCAAAGAAGAGGACGCAUGGCGCAGAUUGGCGAGCCUUGUCGAAAAUUUCACGAACAUUCGCUUCACUCUCGCCAAACCACAUGGUGAGCAGUUCAGGACCCUUCACACUGAUGAAGUUUGCUUGGCAUUCAUUAGCAAUGGCCUUCGCCAACAAAGUUUUGCCACAACCAGGUGGUCCGUAGAACAGGACUCCCUUGGAAGGCGACAUGCCAAACUUCUCAAACUUCUCGGGAUGCUCAACUGGAUAUUGGACGGUCUAGAAAAACACCAUGAGAAAAAUUUAGCUGCUAACUGAGAGUAUAAAUCAGGGAGGAAAUAUACAUAUCCAGCAAAAUCAUCUAUUUACAUAUAUAGAAUCUAAAAUCCUGAAUUUUCAUACAUAACACUUCAAAGAAAAGCUUCUUACGGAAUGCCCUUUAUUCUACAUUUGAUCGUUGGUGGGUUGUUAUUGGACAGGAAAAGUUUUUCAAAGAAGGCAUUUUUAGUAAGUACAAGGGCAUAUCUGAACAUUCAGAUUUUGGAGAAAUGCACAAGUGAGAAUAAAUAAUUAGUUGAAGUACAUGUGUAAAAUAUCAAGUAAAAAAGGCCAGCUCUUGAUAUACCUCCUGCAGUUCCCUCUUAACAUUAUCAAGACCACCGAUAUCUUCCCAGCUGACAUUGGGCACUUCAACAACCUGUACAAUUAAAGAAUAAUUUCAAUUUAUAAGAAAAAGCAUCCCAUGCAGAUAACAAUGUUAGAGCAAAAGCUGGUAUAAAAGAAAAUGGAAAGCAUGCAAGACUACAGUUUCACGGAGCGCAGAAGGAUUGCUGGUUCCAAGAGCCGUCUUAAAAUGUUCAUUGGUGACAGCCAUUGAGUUCAGUAUCUCUGCAUCAAUAGUUUCAUCCUCUAAGUCAAUUAUGUCCAUUUUCUCUCUUAUGCACUGUAGAGCAGCUUCAGUGCAUAGCGCAGCCAAAUCGGCACCAACAUAGCCAUGGGUGUCUUUUGCAAUUCUUUCCAAAUCAACCUGCGUAGAUGGAAUGAAGUUAGUCAAUGUAAUAUUCUAUAAGAAUGUACAACAAGGACUAGUUCAAAAGGCUGGUAACGUUACAAACAAAAGUACAAGGGAUUAAAAUGUUUACAUCUUCAGCAAGUUUCAUGUUCUUGGUAUGGAUGCGUAGAACUUCAAGACGCCCAACUUCAUCAGGCACCCCAAUAUCAAUUUCCCUAUCAAACCUCCCAAACCUUCUAAGAGCAGGGUCAAUACUGUUAGGUCGGUUUGUGGCUCCAAUCACAAUUACAUGUGCUCGAGCUUUCAAACCAUCCAUCAAAGUCAACAGUUGAGAGACAAUUCUCCUCUCAACCUCCCCAUGAGUCUUCUCUCUCUUAGGAGCAAUAGAAUCAAUCUCAUCAAUAAAAAUAAUCGAGGGUGCAUUCUUUUCUGCCUCCUCGAAAGCUUUCCUAAGAUUGCUUUCACUUUCUCCUGCUAGCUUCGACAUGAUUUCCGGACCGUUUAUAACAAAGAAGAAAGCACCUGUCUCGUUAGCAACUGCUCGUGCAAUAAGCGUUUUCCCAGAACCAGGAGGGCCGUACAGCAGAAUUCCUUUUGGUGGCUUUACUCCGAUGGAUUUGAAGAGUUGAGGGUGCCUUAGAGGUAAUUCAACUAGUUCACGAAUCUGAGCCAUCUGCUUGCGAACCCCACCAACAUCAUCAUACCCUACUUCAUCGAGCCUGUCUUCAUCCUCUCUUUUUACGGGUUCGCCCUCGCAAAAGAUUUCAGUGUCAGGGGCCACAACACAGUAUUCAGCAGGGUCAGUUUCUAUCACUUUGAACUCCACACAACGCAUACCACCUCUGACAAGGAACAGGUCACCCUUCCUUACCGGGCGAUAUGCCUCAAGGAAAUAAGCUGCAAAAAUAUGUCCAAAGGAAAAGGCCAUGAUCAACAUAAUCGACAACGUAUUUUUAUACUAAGAUAACUGAAAA